rnacentral:rRNA from 1 species
GGGUGAGUAACACGUGGAUAACCUACCUAUAAGACUGGGAUAACUUCGGGAAACCGGAGCUAAUACCGGAUAAUAUAUUGAACCGCAUGGUUCAAUAGUGAAAGACGGUUUUGCUGUCACUUAUAGAUGGAUCCGCGCCGCAUUAGCUAGUUGGUAAGGUAACGGCUUACCAAGGCAACGAUGCGUAGCCGACCUGAGAGGGUGAUCGGCCACACUGGAACUGAGACACGGUCCAG